GUAGGGAAUCUUGCGCAAUGGGCGAAAGCCUGACGCAGCCAUGCCGCGUGAAUGAUGAAGGUCUUAGGAUUGUAAAAUUCUUUCACCGGGGACGAUAAUGACGGUACCCGGAGAAGAAGCUCCGGCUAACUUCGUGCCAGCAGCCGCGGUAAUACGAAGGGGGCUAGCGUUACUCGGAAUUACUGGGCGUAAAGGGCGCGUAGGCGGACAGUUUAGUCAGAGGUGAAAGCCCAGGGCUCAACCUUGGAAUUGCCUUUGAUACUGGCUGUCUUGAGUACGGAAGAGGUGAGUGGAACUCCGAGUGUAGAGGUGAAAUUCGUAGAUAUUCGGAAGAACACCAGUGGCGAAGGCGACUCACUGGCCCGUUACUGACGCUGAGGCGCGAAAGCGUGGGGAGCAAACAGGAUUAGAAACCCGAGUAGUCC
rnacentral:rRNA from 1 species